rnacentral:lncRNA from 1 species
AUGUCAGAUUGAGGACCUGGGUGGUGUCUUGAAUGCCUACGUUGGUGAUUCUGAAGGAGUGGACAGCCCAGUUCAAGUAAAAAGCGUGCUCAGCCUUCCUUAGAGGCAACCCCUCUCUCAAAGCCGCUUCAUCAAUUUGGAUAACAGUGAUGCCUGCCUUCUCCAAAUCUUCCACUUCAUCCUUAAUGGCCAAAGCAAUCUGGUAGCAAGUUUCAAAUCUGGAAACGGAGAUAUACAAAUCAACAUUGACUUGUAACACUAUAAGAAUUUAUUAUAAGAAAUCUUCUCCCCUGUUCCCAACUUAUAAGGAGGUAAAAGGUUACCUUGGCUGAUCAUUUCUGACAAAAGACCAGUUGAGAAUGGUAACUGGUCCGGUAAGCAUUCCCUUCAUUGGGCGCUUGGUCAUGCUCUGAGCUGUUGUGGACCAGAAUACGGUCAUUGGGUUGGGGCGGCUCACAUCACCAUAGAUAAUUGGUGGCUUCACACAUCGAGAUCCAUAAGAUUGAACCCAUCCAUUAGCAGUGAAGGCAAAACCAGAAAGCUGCUCCCCGAAGUAUUCAACCAUAUCAUUCCUCUGUAAGCAUUGAACAUCCAGAGUUACUAAAAUCCAUAAAAAAGAUUAAGGCAGGAAAAUAGGCAUGAAAGUAAUAAGGAGUAAAGUACAGCUUAGCUUUGCCAGUAAAUCAAGGUAAUUUGCCUUACCUCGGGCUCUCCGUGAACCAACACAUCGAUGUCGAGCUCUUCCUGGAGAACAACAACCUUCUUGAUUUCUUCCUUGAUGGCCUUAACAUACUCUUCCUCAGAGAUCCUAGAGCAUAAGACAUUAUCAGAAGCCAGGUUCCAGGAAUCUGACAACGACAAGUAAAUAACAGGUGAUAAUACUCACUUCUUGGCCUUGUAUUCACGGCGAACUCUCCUAAGCUCCACCGUCUGAGGGAAGGACCCAAUGGUGGUGGUUGGGAGAACUGGGAGGUUAAGUUUCUUUUGUUGGGCAUCAAGUCUAGCACUGACAUUUGUAGCACGGCGGUGGUCGGAACCCUUAAGAGCAGUAGCCUGAGAAAUCAAAAGAGCAUAAAUUGGUAAGUACAACGUGAUCCUCAAAACAAGGUCAUCAGGAGUUAACAAUCUCUUAGUUCUUCACUUACAGCCUUUUGGACAGCUUCAUUUGUCACUCUGGGAGAGGAUUUCCUGGAAGCCUGAGCGGCAGCAUUUGCAGAGAAGAACGCCUGAAAGUAAAAUCCAAGAAAUUUAACCAUGAAAGAGAUACCAUUUCACAUAUAACAAGAGUUAAUAAAAUAACUUUAGUUAUUGGAAGUCGCUUUUCUCAAUAUGUUUUAUAUAAGAAUGGACAAAGAUAUAUUUUUGGGAGCCACUUUUUUAAAGAUGACUUAGUUAAGAUCAACUAUACCUCAUCCUUGUGACCAGCUAAUGCCUUGGCCAAAGCGUUAACUUCAACGACUUUUUGGGCAGCAAAUGCCAACCAUGACUUGAUUUCAUCAUCUAGCUUAGUCUCAUUGACAAGAUCAACAGCAGUAUGGAGAAGUGAGCAAGAUGUGGAGACAACAAGUUUGUCUGCAAAAAGAAGAAUACAGAAAGAGUUAUCAUCUGAACCAAAUCACAUGCAAAAUCAACUAUCGAGUGCACAGACAUGAGUUACAAACCUUUUCCAACAAUACCCUCAAGAGAUUGCAGGAGGUUAAGAGAUGCGGCAAGAUCAUUUGCCCAGAUGUUCCUUCCGUCAACCACUCCAGCAAACAAGUACUUGCCUGAAGGGAAGCCACCUUUGAUCAAAUCAAGGGUCUGAGUUCCACGAACCAAGUCAAAACCAAAGGCAGUAACUCCCUUCAAAGCAGUGAGGGUUUUGAAUGCUUCAGCAGGGACGUCAGCGAAGUAGGUUUCAGUGAGAACGUUAAGACCAGACAGAGAUGAUUCCAACUCGGCAUAGGCCUUAGUGAAGGCUUCCAAUUGGUGAGCUUGGAGAUCCAACACAAGUGUAGGUUCAUCAAACUGAAUCCAAGAAGCACCAGCAGCCUUCAAUUCUGCAAUAACUUCCCUGCAUCAAUAAAUUCAUGUUAAAAUGGAAUGAAUUGGAACUAGGGUGCGAGAAAGGAAAGAGAAAAAACUUUCGUACUUGUAGAUUGGAAGGAUUUUGUCAAGAAGUGACAAAAGAGGGAAGGAUUUCUCAACACCCUUAGCAGGUUUGGAUAGCAACAAGUAUGAGACUGGACCAAUAAGGACUGGAACAGUGUCUACACCAAGCUGCAGUAAAAAUGUCAAGAUCACUUAGUCACCAAUUUAAUCUCUUAAUUUCGUGAAUAAAUAAAGAAAAGUUACAUAUGAACAAAAGAUUUUGCAUUCUGUAAUUGGUAUAAGGAUCAUAAAGAUUAACAUCAGUGGUGACCCCUGUUCGUAAGAAAAAUGGAAAAAAGAAAAUGUACUGCCUCCUCACCACCUAAUAUGUAUCACAAGUUUCUGAUCAUCAUACAUAAUUGGCACAAAAGGUAAAACCCCCAUGCAGACAUACCACCUCAAAUUUAAGAGACUUCUCCUCUAAAAGGAGAGAGAACAAAAUAUGUCUCAUAAAUUGAAAAUAAGAAAAUGAAGUCACUUACCCCCUUGGCCUCUUUGUACUCAUCUACUGCCUUGUGAGAAGCAUAAGAAAAGUUAACAUCAGGUCCCAACUCAGGGACAAUGAAAUGGCUGGAUCAAAAAGCAAACAAAUCAUCUAUAAGUAUGUGGAAAUCAAGAUAAUUCUAACAUAUGAAACGGGAAAGAUUGAUAUGUCACUUACUAGUUGGUGUCAAACCACUUGGUCAUCUCCAUAGCAGGGACAGAGGCGUUUCCUCUGGCCAUGGAGAAGUAAGUGUCAAAUGCUAUCUCACCACCAGCCCAAUUGUACCUAGCUGGGACAGCACCGAGCAUUGCAGUUGUGUCAAGCACCUGAUCAUAGUAAGAGAAUGUGUUGCUGGGGAUGUACUUGAUGCCAGCAUCAGCCAUCUGUUUCCAGAUGGAAGACCUUAGGUCUGCAGCCACCUUCUUCAAGUCCUCAGCACUGCUCUUCCCAUCCCAGAAAGACUCGAGAGCAAAUUUCAGCUCUCUCUUUGGGCCCAUACGGGGAUAUCCAACAAUGUGAGAUGCCAUUUUUGCUGAUGCACCAAAUACAGCCAAUCAGACAAGUACUCAAUCAGGAUAUUUAAACAGAUCACAUUCGUUAAAUCUGGUAGAUAUAUCACAUUUUGUUAAAACUGGUAGAAAUAUCACAUUGACAUACACAAAAAGCAUAAAAAUGAUAUGCAGCUAUGCAGCUAAGUAGUACUACUCUGUUCAUUCAAUUUAUGUGAACCUAUUUCCUUUUUAAUCCGUGCAAAAAAAUGACCUCUUUCCAUAUUUGGAAAUAAUUUACGUUUAUGUAAUCAUUUAUAAUCACACAAAAUACAUGUGAUUCGUUUUAAACACAAGUUCGUCUUUUUUCUUUUCUUGAACUCCAUACCCAUCAAAUGAGUUCACGGGGGAGUAGUAUUAAUUAUUUAAAUUUUUUUGGAAUUGGGGUUGGGAGCACUUACACGUGUUGCUCUUAUUAAAUAUGUAAUUUAUGUGUCCACAGAAAGUACAUUACUAGAAGCUGAGCUUGUCCCUUCACAGUAAUAAAUUUUCUUGACCAGUGAAAAAGUAACAAUUGUCAUAUAGUAUUGUACUACUACUGCUACUAAACAGAGAAUGAAAUUUUAGACAAUGUACAAACACCAAACAAGUACACAAUGCUAAGUCAUAAAUAAGCUUAUCCCUUGACCCCUCUUUUACUGUUGCUAUAUAUUAUACUGCUACCACCAUUAAACUGGGAUAGAAACACAAGACAGCAAAAGGGAAGCCCAAUACAGAAAGCAUCUCGUGUUCAAUCAUAUAGUACUCCACAUAUUGAAUAACCCAAUUAUACAAUCAGAUCUAUCAACGUCAGAUCUAAGUUUCAUCCAAUAUAAACAAUGCUGCCAUACUCGAACAAAAUUUCACAAAGACAGAUCCAAUGAAUUAACAAAUACCUGUAUCCAGAUCUACACCCCAUAUCACACAGAUCUAAAACUCAACUCUCAUGCAUAGAAAUACAAAUACCACAUACUAGCAGAAUUUAUACCAAUAGAUUCACAUCAAAUCAAGAAACCAAUUUGGGGUACUAAAAAAAACUGACCUUCCAAUAACAAUAGAUCUAAAUCUAAAUCAAAAGAAAAAGAACUAAAAAGAUGAAACUAAAAUGGACCCUGAAUGAGCCAAAAUAGAAUUAUGAAAUGGUUAACGUACAUACCAAUAGAUCUAAAGCAAACAAAGACCAAUUUGGUGUUUGAUUUAUCAAACAAUCUUGAGAAAGAACACACAAACGGAGAAAACACAACUAAAAAACAGAAGUUGAAGAAUUUGGAACAAGAAAUGGGUGGUAGAGAAGAGACAAAGAAAGGGACGAAUGACAGAGCGUACCUUUAGGAAGAGAAAGAACCGGUAUAUGACUUACACCACUAUUGGUUCUUGAUCCUUAAGAUUAAGAAGAAGGGGAACGAGACACGAGUUUGAAGCGAGGAAUCGCUGCAGUAUAUAUAGAAAGAGUGGGGUGGUUGGAGUUGGAUGGAUCUUGAAAAUGUAAAAAGUUAAAAUAAUAUCCGAUUGGCUAACGCGCUAUGAGCUAGCGCGUGGGAAACGAGAGGUAGGCGGAGAAGUGAUUCUGUUGAAAGUGGUGACUUUUACCUACCACUCUCAACAGUUGUACAAAUUCAGUUGAGACACCCCUUCAUUUAAGAAACUUUUUCAGCAAUUAUUAUGAUUGGUUGUUAAAUAGUAAUUAUAAGCCUAACUUUUAAUAUUAACUUAUUUUAAAAAGUGUUUUUAAAAAAAAAAAUACUUUUGUGGGAAGCAACUUGUGUUUGGCUAAUUAAUUUGAAAAAUACUUUUGAGUACCAAUUAGAGUUUGAUCAAAUUUUUAAAAAGUGCUAUUAAGGGUAUUUUUCUCAAAAGAAUUUUUGAAAAGAAUCUAUUUUUUUCUACUUCUACCCAAAAAUAUUUUUAUUCCUUCUAAAAGCUUGGUCAAACACUUUAACAUCGAAAAAAAUACUUUUGACCAAAAAAGUACUUUUGGCUAAAAAUAAACAUGGCCAAACAUGCUAUUUGGUCCAUGUCACGCCCCAAACUUGGGGAGGCGUGGUUGGCACCCGGUGCCGAGCGGCCCGAGCGAACCACUUUGUAACACAUGAUCAUUCGACCAAAACUACAACAUACAUAGGUCGAAUUAGCUGAACUCAUUCCUUUUGUAACUAUCAUGGGCCCACAUGACCACAACUCGUAAUGUACAACGGUAAGUGGGCAACACUGUAUCAAUAAACUAUCGUUCUUAAAACAUGAAUACAUAUGGGCCGUCAAGGUCUCUGACAUACUGCACAAAAUGAACCUAUGUCUACAAAGCCUCUAAGAUUACUUCACAUCAAAUGGACAAUGUACCUGUCUACUUAUAAGUCUGUAGCAAAACUCUGACACGAUGACUCAUAGACUCAACUGCACUCCGAAUGAGGUGGAGUCUUACCAAUCCUUCGCUGAAUGCCAAUCUUGUCACGACCCAAAAUCCACUAAAGGUCAUGAUGGCGCCGGACGCCACUAUUAGGCAAGCCAACUACCAUUUACUAGCAAUUUCUCAUUUUAAUUAUUUUGAAAUAAUUUCUUUUAAACAAAUAAAUAAUAAAUAAUAAUCUCCACUGAAUAAAUAAGGAUGUCUUUACAAAAUUUAACUACUGAAAUAAAAUCCCGUGAUCAUCCCAGAAUUCGGUGUCACACGUACAUGAGCAUUUACUAGUGAGUGAAAUAAAAUACAGUGACUGCCCGGAAUACAAGUGGACAGAAAUGAAAAUACAAUACAAUACUCUAAAGAAGAUUCUGCUGACCGUGGGGCGUCUCGAUAAUGCAGCUCACCUAAGACUCCGUACCAACCAUGCCACUAAGCCAUUAGCCACACAUAAACCUAUGCAACAAAAAUGCACAACAAGUGUAGUAUGAGUACGAAAACAACGUGUACCCUGCGAGUAUCCCGUCUAAUCUCGAAGAAGUAGAGACGAGAGGUCGACUUCGAUACUUACUAGUGGUCCAUCAGUAGUAUAUUAUUAAUGUGAAUAAUCAUGGAUUUAUUAAGAACGACAGUAAUUUCAAUUAAUUCAUGAACAGGUAAAAGUUCCUCUGUAUAUUAAAAGUCUCCGGAUUCACAAUUUAUAAAUUUUCAAUUAUCUGAAGCCGGGGAGAGCAAAUAUCAAUAUCAAUAACUCUCAAGGCAAGCAAUACAAGCAUGCACAAAUUAUGCCGAGGUCGUACGACCCGAUCCAAUAAUAUUUAAAUUGUGCACUACUAGAGGGUCGAAUGGCGCGAACCAUAGAUGCAUCUAUUUAAUCUACCGAGGUGUUCGGCCCAUUCCGAAAUUAAACACACACAUACAUUCAAUCAAGAAGUCAACAGGGAACAAUUAUCCAAAGAAACGCCAAUUCUCUUUAAGAGAUUUUUGAAAAUGAAGUUUACAUCUUUUUAGAAAUUCAUUUACUAAUCCGAUAUGAUUUAAGCAAUUCAAACUGUCAACAAGGUUAUAAAUAUUCCAAGUAUGACAUGCUUUUGGGACCUAGACUACCCGAACUUACACAUAAUAGUAGCUACCACGGACUCUCGUCACCUCGUGCGUACGUAGCCCCCACAAAUAGGAGCACAUAACAAAUUAUUUCACCUAUGGGGACAAUUCCCUCUUACAAGGUUAGAAAGGAGACUCACCUCGCUCCGAAGAUUCAUAACCGGCAUUUCCACGCCCUUCUGAAGACCCGAAUCGAUGCUAAACGCUCUAAAGCUAGCCAAUAAUUAUGCAAAUCCAUUAAUAUAUGCUCAAGUACUCAUUACAAUCCAAUUUAUAGCAAUUCCUAACCCCGAUCGAAAAGUUGACAAAAAUGCCCUCAGGCCCAUGUGCUCAGAUUCCAAAAAAUUUCGAAGGAUAAGUUUACCCACAACCUCACGAACUCAAAUAUAUAAUUUACUCUAAAUUUCAUACCCAAAAUCGUGGUCAAAUUUCAAGAAUAUCAAUUUUCUAGGUUUUCCCUCAAACCCCAAGUUUCUACCAAUUUCAUGCUCAAAUCCGUACAUAAUCAAUAUAUUUAACUCAAGAUAGGUGGGGAUAGCUUACCUUAUCGUUGAUGAUGAAAAUUCCCUCUUGAAACCCUCCAAGAAUCGCCCAAGCCAAGAAAAUAUGAGAGAAAAAUGGCCAAAUCCCGAUUUUUAAAACACUCACUGUCUCUAGACCUUUCCGCACCUGCGGUCACUUGACCACUUUUGCGGUUCCGCAGGUGCGGUUCCAAUACCGCUUCUGCGGUCCUCCUCCAGCUGCCCCAACCCACUUUUAUGCUGCACCGACCGCAUUUGCGAUCACGCAAGUGCGGGAAUUUCUUCGCACCUGCGGCCUCUAACUCCUUCACUUCUAACCGCUUCUGUGGUCCCCUUCCUCGCUUCUACGGGGCCGCUUCUGCGGUGAACCCUCCGCAGAAGCGGUUACACCAGCAACCAGACCCCUUCAGCUCAUCCUUCAAGUUCCAAUUCGAUCCGUUAACCACCCGGAAUUCACCCGAGGCCCCUGAGACCCCAACCAAUCAUGCCAACCAGUCCCAAAACACAUUACAGACUUGCUCGAGGCCUCAAAUCUUAUAAAACAAUGCUAAAACCACGAAUCACACUCCAAUUCAAGAUUAAUGAACUCUAAAAUUUCAAACUUCUACUUUUGGUGUUUAAACCUAUCAAAUCACGUCCGAUUGACCUCAAAUUUUGCACACAAGUCAUAUUCGACAUUACAGACCUACUCCAACUUCCGGAAUCAAAUUCCAACCCUGAUAUAAAAAAGUCCACUUCUGGUCAUACUUCUCAAAAACCUUCAAAUUUAUAUCUUUAGCCAAAUGACUCCAAACCAACCCAUGGACCUCUGAAUUCACUUCUGAUCGUGCUCCCAACUCUAGAAUCACCAUACGGAGCUAUUCCCAAACUCGGAAUCCCAAACGGACAUCGAUACACUGAAAUGCACUUCAACCCAAACUUAUGAAAUUCCUUCAAAAUGCUAACUUCCACAAUAGGUGCCAAAACGUUCCCGGGUAUUCCAAAACCCGAUCCGGACAUACGCCCAAGUUCGUAAUCAUCAUACAAACCUGCUGGAAACUUCGAAUCCCGAUUCCGAGGUCAUUUACUCGAAAAUCCAAUCUUAGCUAAUUCUUAAAACUUAAAGCUUCCGAAAUGAGAAUUCUCUUUCCAAAUCAACUUCGAACUUCCCGGGAUUCAAUUCUGAUCGUGUGCACAAGUCGUAAUACCUGAAGUGAAGCUGCUCAUGGCCUCAAACUACUGAACGACGUGCUAGAGCUCAAAAUGACUAGUCGGGUCAUUACAAAUCUCGUCUACUAUGAGGGCUCAUCAAACUGAUUAUCUAUACCUGCAGGCAUGAAUGCAGUGUCCCAAGCAAAAGGACGUUAGUACAAAUAAUGUACUGAGUAUGUAAGGCAGAGCUGAAACAUAACCAUAAUUCAACAUUAAUUAAAGGCAUAUAAGAAUCAACCUGAAUCUCUGAAGUGCCACCGUAUAUGCAUACUUAUGAUACUUAUAUAUAUAAUGCUUCACUUUGAGAUUAUUAUCCAUAUCAUAUGAUGCAUGACUGCCCAACUGAUCAGCGGUAACUGCCCGACCAACCGUCGCACAAUGGUAAAUGUAUGACAGCCCCACCGGUGAUAAAUAAUGAUACAUAACUGUCCACCCGGUAGUAACUGCCCGACCGGCCGUAGCCCGGUAGUAAAUUCAUGUCUGCCCAACCGGUUGUAGCACGAUUGUAGAUGAAGAUGCAUGACUGCUCAACUGGUUGUAGCACAGUGAUAAAUAUAUAACUGCCCAACCGGCCGUAGCUUGGUGGUAAAUGCAUAUGCAUGAAGAUGUGUAACGACCCAGCUGGUCGUUUUAUGAGUUACCGCUCUGUUUCUGCUUCUUUAUGUGUUGUUCAGCUAUAUUUCGUUGUAUCGCUUUAGUUGGUUUAGGUUCAGAGUGGUAUUGUAGAGAGAUGAGACACUUAGUCUCUUUUUGGGAAACUUUAGUUGGAAAAGUCAACCGAAAAUUGACUUAUGAGUAAAUGGUCUCGGAACUUGGUUUUACAGUUCGGAUAGCUUCAUGAGGUGAUUUAGGACUUAGGAGCAUGAUCGGAAUAUAUUUUGGAGGUCCAUGGUAGAUUUAGGCUUGAAUUGGCAAAAUUGGAAUUUUGGCGUUUUCUGGUCAAUAGUGAAAAAUUUGAUAUCGGGUCGGAAUGGAAUUCUGGAAAUUGGAGUAGGUCCGUUGUGUCAUUUGGGACAUGUGUGCAAAAUUUCAGGUCAUUUGGGUGAGGUUUGAUAGACUUUUUGAUCGUUUGCGGAAUUCAAAAGUUUUGGAAUCGUUAGGCUUUAAUCCGAGGGUGAUUUGGCGUUUCAGCGUUAUUUUGAAUGUUUCGAGGUUUGGUACAAGUUUGAAUAGUGGUAUGUGACUUGUUCGUAUUUUUGGAUGAGGUCCCGGGGGCCUCGGGAUGAUUUCGGAUGGUUAUCAAAAAGAUUGGAAGUUGGAGAAUGCAGUUGAAGCUGUUGGUUCUAUCAUAACCAAACCUACGGUUAGGGGACCGUAGGUGCGAUAACCGCAGAAGCGAGGAAAGGCUGCAGAUGUGGUUGGGCAGCGCAGAAGCAGGAGUUGAGGCGCACCUGUGAGCCCGCAAGUGCGAUUGAUUGACCGUAGGUGCGGAUGAGGGAUUUUAAGUGAAAAUCCGCAGAAGCGGAGAUUUGUCCGCAAGUGCGGUAAUUUGUCCGUAGGUGCGGAACUGCCUGGGCAGAAACUACAUAAACCCGCCUUCGCAAAUUUCAGCUUUGUUCCACCAUUUUUGAGACAGUUUGAGAGCUUUCUGAGAGGAUUUGAAGAGGGAUUCAAGGGAUAACGCUUGGAGGUAAGAUUUUUGAACCCAAUACUCGAUUCUAUGACAUUAUCUUACUGAUUAGGCUUGAAAUAAUUGGAAAUUAAGGGUUAAAAUUGGUGAAUUAGGGCUUGGUAUUGGAGAGUUUCCAUUGGGGAUUUGAGGGUCCAUUUUGUGUCCGAUUUUGAUGUUCUUGGUAUGUAUAGACUCGUGGAAGGAUAAGAAUUCUUGUGGUGUGGUUUUUAUCGAAUUUCGAUAAGUGGGCCCGGGGGUUGGGUUUGGCCAAUUUCGGAAUUUUUGAUGUAAUUUGAUUAUUUUUGCGUAGGCCUUGUUCCUUUAGCUAAUAUUGACGACAUGAAUAUGGUUUUGGUUAGAUUCGAAGCAUUUGGAGGCCGAUUCAAGAGACAAGGGCAUCGCGGGCUAGAGUUUGGACUGGGUUGAGGUAAAUAAUGAUUGUAAAUAUUGUCCUGAGGGUAUGAAACCCUGGAUUUCACAUCGUGGUGCUACUUUGAGGUGGCGCACACGCUAGAUGACGAGUGUGGGGGCGUGCACUGUUGAGGAUUGUGACUUGGUCUGUCCUGUACGACUAUUAAGUCAUGUAUCUGAUUGAAAACUAUUUGAUACUGUUGUGUUUUGGAAAGUAAUACUAUGUUUUGGGCUGAAUGCUAUACAAUUGUUUGGAUCCUUAGGGGCAUUUUACUACUAUUCCUUACUGUUUUAACCUAAUAUCUGUAUUCAAUCAUGCUGUGUUUUACUGAUUUCACAACGUAUUUACUCUAUUUUGAUACUUUAAAUAAUAUUUUGGGCUCAACAUCCUGUUUUACUAUUGCCUGAGUGGCUUAAGAGGUUUCUGACUAAGUGAGGCCGAGGGCUUGUGAUGUGAGGAUAUCAUGGGAUCGAACUACGCGAUGCAGCAUGUUGUACUGAUUUGUGAUAUAUGAGAGGCCGAGGGUCUGAUUUAUUAUGCCACAAUAUGGCUUAUGAUAGCACUUGGGCUAUAGGAGCCCCUCCGAAGUCUGAACACCACCAGUGAGCGCGGGUACCCAGUGUAAGUGAUGUGAUGUAGCCUGAGGGGUUGCUGUUGAUU